rnacentral:rRNA from 1 species
GACGAACGCUGGCGGCGUGCUUAACACAUGCAAGUCGAGCGGUAAGGCCCUUUCGGGGGUACGACGAGCGGCGAACGGGUGAGUAACACGUGGGUGACCUGCCCUCCAGCUCUGGGAGUAAGCCUGGGAAACCGGGGUACUAAUACUGGAUAUGACUCCAUGACGCAUGUUGUGGGGUGGAAAGCCUUGUGCGGCUGAGGAUGGGCCCGCGGCCUAUCAGCUUGUUGGUGGGGUGAGGCCUACCAAGGCGACGACGGGUAGCCGGCCUGAGAGGG